rnacentral:rRNA from 1 species
CUAACACAUGCAAGUCGAACGAGAUCUUCGGAUCUAGUGGCGCACGGGUGCGUAACGCGUGGGAAUCUGCCCUUGGGUACGGAAUAACUCAGAGAAAUUUGUGCUAAUACCGUAUAAUGUCUUCGGACCAAAGAUUUAUCGCCCAAGGAUGAGCCCGCGUAGGAUUAGCUAGUUGGUGAGGUAAAAGCUCACCAAGGCGACGAUCCUUAGCUGGUCUGAGAGGAUGAUCAGCCACACUGGGACUGAGACACGGCCCAGACUCCUACGGGAGGCAGCAGUGGGGAAUAUUGGACAAUGGGCGAAAGCCUGAUCCAGCAAUGCCGCGUGAGUGAUGAAGGCCCUAGGGUUGUAAAGCUCUUUUACCCGGGAUGAUAAUGACAGUACCGGGAGAAUAAGCUCCGGCUAACUUCGUGCCAGCAGCCGCGGUAAUACGAGGGGAGCUAGCGUUGUUCGGAAUUACUGGGCGUAAAGCGCGCGUAGGCGGUUUUUUAAGUCAGAGGUGAAAGCCCGGGGCUCAACCCCGGAAUUGCCUUUGAAACUGGAAAACUAGAAUCUUGGAGAGGUCAGUGGAAUUCCGAGUGUAGAGGUGAAAUUCGGAGAUAUUCGGAAGAACACCAGUGGCGAAGGCGAC